AUGGCGGCGGUUCCCUCGACAACAACAAAAAAUCUAGGCGAUGGCGGCGAGUAUCCCAGCAGCCAUCUCAACCAGAUAGCGACGGCCGGUGGUGGCGGCCCCUGUGAGAUGGAGACGGAAUUCAGCAAGGAGAUGGAUAGGGGAUCCAGCAAGGAGAAGGAGAGGGUUUGGGUUGGGGAACUCCGGAGGAUACAGAGGGCAUACGAGAGGGAGAUGAAGAAGGAAUCGGAAAAGGAGAUGGAUUGGGUUCGAAAAUUCCGGAAGCUGGAUAGGGACUACGGGGAGGCGAUAGUGGAGGCGGCGGAGAUGAAAUGGGUUCGGAGAUUCCGGAGGAUGGAGAGGAAAUACAAGGAGGAGAUGGAGAUCCAGUCGAGCAAGGACAUGGGGCGGACCACCUACCUUGUCCACAACAAGAGGGAGGACACGUUGCUGAGUUGUACAAAACCUGAGAGCCUUGCCGACGCUCUCUGUCGCCACAUUUGUAUCCAGAGGAGGGAGAUCACCGCCCUGGAGAGGCAGGUCGAAUCACGAGGGUUGGCGACGAUCGCCGGAAAGAAGGCUUAUCUAGAGAGGCAAAGGAAAAAAGGAGGGGUUUACGCCCCACAGCAGAUGCCACCCGAGAUGAUAGAGCAGUUGCCCGAGUUGUCCGUCUCUAGUGAAAUCAACUUGCUCGGGGUGGUAAGUUUGCCCUAUCUUGUUAGGAACCAUGGGGAGGCACUUAAUUUUCUCGUGCAUGAGUGUCAGGAAUUGGGCUAUCGGAUCCAGUCUCUCGCAUCUAUACUGAAGAAAUCCAGUGUCCCUAUCCGGCUGGACAAGGUCAAGAAGCUUCGUCUUAUGUCCCAAGCAUUUGUGACUAUCUCGGAAAAUAUAAUGGAUUCACGCGGACACUUGAAUGUGGAUGACCUUAGUUCUUACCAUGCCGCCUGGAAAUCUACAUGGGGCAGUGAGAUAGCAGGAUGUGGUUCGUUCGAUGACAUAACCAUGUUGAGCCCUAUGCAAUUCACGCACUCCACGCCUGGUAUCUUUCCACACGCUGCUGUUGCCGGCCCAGCCCUGCAGAUCUUCUCCAUCAAAAUUGUGAAUGUGAAUGCCAACUUGGGCUGGCCGCUCCGUGUGUACGGGGUGGUUGCUGCACGAGACACCGUGGACCGCAAUCGCAACCUUCUUUUCUCCCGGUCAAGGGCAAACUGCCAACAAGUCACUGAAGCGGAUCCUUUUUUGCUCUUGACUGGCCCUUCUCGUGCAAUUGUGGCUGCGGACACGGUUAAAUUUGAAGUUGAGCUUAGAAUUAUGUAUGCUGGAGCAGAUACCAAAGAUGCAGUAUUGUUCUCUUCUACCUAUAAUUACUAUUCCAUGCAGCAGUAUGCCAAGCCCAGGAUCAGCAGCUGCUGUGGUAUGUUAGAGUUAAGUGUUGAGCGCCUUAGUAGAGCAGUCCAGGCCACUAUCGUGGGUGUCCGUGUUGUUGAAGGGGAGUGGCCUUUUCAAUAUGGAUGCCGGGUUUCUUGCUACUUAUCUCCUGAUGAAGAUCUUGUUCCCACUACACCUACGGAAGUCGUGUUAGUUAACUGUAAGGUUGAGGAAAUGGAGAAACAGUCUGAUGGUUACGUAAAUCUGUCAAGAAAUGUUGUUUCAGUGCAACUAGAGCAAACGCUGAAAGUGGUCAUUCAAGCCUAUUCAGAAUCUGGCCUUGAAUAUCUACAUAAUGUUGAGGUUGACUUCCCUGUGCAGCAAUGCCAAACAACCAAGUGUUUAUGUACAGUUGGUAACUCGACGGUUGAGAUCGUUGUUGCUUGGUCCUUUCUUGCCAUGGAUAAGCUGGAUCUUGUGCUGGAGGGGUAUGUUACCCCAGUGUAG
rnacentral:rRNA from 1 species